UACGUAGGGCGCAAGCGUUAUCCGGAUUUAUUGGGCGUAAAGGGCUCGUAGGCGGUUCGUCGCGUCCGGUGUGAAAGUCCAUCGCUUAACGGUGGAUCCGCGCCGGGUACGGGCGGGCUUGAGUGCGGUAGGGGAGACUGGAAUUCCCGGUGUAACGGUGGAAUGUGUAGAUAUCGGGAGGAACACCAAUGGCGAAGGCAGGUCUCUGGGCCGUUACUGACGCUGAGGAGCGAAAGCGUGGGGAGCGAACAGC
rnacentral:rRNA from 1 species